CCUACGGGUGGCAGCAGUGAGGAAUAUUGGUCAAUGGACGAGAGUCUGAACCAGCCAAGUAGCGUGAAGGAUGACUGCCCUAUGGGUUGUAAACUUCUUUUAUAUGGGAAUAAAAUGUUCCACGUGUGGGAUUUUGUAUGUACCAUAUGAAUAAGGAUCGGCUAACUCCGUGCCAGCAGCCGCGGUAAUACGGAGGAUCCGAGCGUUAUCCGGAUUUAUUGGGUUUAAAGGGAGCGUAGGUGGAUUGUUAAGUCAGUUGUGAAAGUUUGCGGCUCAACCGUAAAAUUGCAGUUGAAACUGGCAGUCUUGAGUGCAGUAGAGGUGGGCGGAAUGCGUGGUGUAGCGGUGAAAUGCUUAGAUAUCACGAAGAACUCCGAUUGCGAAGGCAGUUCACUGGACUGCAACUGACACUGAGGCUCGAAAGUGUGGGUAUCAAACAGGAUUAGAUACCCGGGUAGUC
rnacentral:rRNA from 1 species